rnacentral:rRNA from 1 species
ACGCUGGCGGCGUGCCUAACACAUGCAAGUCGAGCGGGAGAUCCUCGGGAUGAUCCUAGCGGCGGACGGGUGAGUAACACGUGGGCAACCUGCCUCAUAGAGAGGAAUAGCCUUCCGAAAGGGAGAUUAAUACCUCAUAACAUUGCAGUUUCGCAUGGAACAGCAAUUAAAGGAGUAAUCCGCUAUGAGAUGGGCCCGCGGCGCAUUAGCUAGUUGGUGAGGUAACGGCUCACCAAGGCGACGAUGCGUAGCCGACCUGAGAGGGUGAUCGGCCACAUUGGGACUGAGACACGGCCCAGACUCCUACGGGAGGCAGCAGUGGGGAAUAUUGCACAAUGGGGGAAACCCUGAUGCAGCCAACGCCGCGUGAGUGAUGACGGCCUUCGGGUUGUAAAGCUCUGUCUUCAGGGACGAUAAUGACGGUACCUGAGGAGGAAGCCACGGCUAACUACGUGCCAGCAGCAGC